rnacentral:rRNA from 1 species
ACCUUUUGUGAGACUGCUUUAUUGUAGUUUAAGACACGGAGCGGAUGCGCGACCUGUGGGUAACCUACCCAUAAGACUGGGAUAACUCCGGGAAACCGGGGCUAAUACCGGAUAAUAUUUUGAACUGCAUAGUUCGAAAUUGAAAGGCGGCUUCGGCUGUCACUUAUGGAUGGACCCGCGUCGCAUUAGCUAGUUGGUGAGGUAACGGCUCACCAAGGCGACGAUGCGUAGCCGACCUGAGAGGGUGAUCGGCCACACUGGGACUGAGACACGGCCCAGACUCCUACGGGAGGCAGCAGUAGGGGAUCUUCCGCAAUGGACGAAAGUCUGACGGAGCAACGCCGCGUGAGUGAUGAAGGCUUUCGGGUCGUAAAACUCUGUUGUUAGGGAAGAACAAGUGCUAGUUGAAUAAGCUGGCACCUUGACGGUACCUAACCAGAAAGCCACGGCUAACUACGUGCCAGCAGCCGCGGUAAUACGUAGGUGGCAAGCGUUAUCCGGAAUUAUUGGGCGUAAAGCGCGCGCAGGUGGUUUCUUAAGUCUGAUGUGAAAGCCCACGGCUCAACCGUGGAGGGUCAUUGGAAACUGGGAGACUUGAGUGCAGAAGAGGAAAGUGGAAUUCCAUGUGUAGCGGUGAAAUGCGUAGAGAUAUGGAGGAACACCAGUGGCGAAGGCGACUUUCUGGUCUGUAACUGACACUGAGGCGCGAAAGCGUGGGGAGCAAAUCGGAUUAGAUACCCUGGUAGUCCACGCCGUAAACGAUGAGUGCUAAGUGUUAGAGGGUUUCCGCCCUUUAGUGCUGAAGUUAACGCAUUAAGCACUCCGCCUGGAAUUCCAUGUGUAGCGGUGAAAUGCGUAGAGAAUAUGGAGGAACACCAGUGGCGAAAGCGACUUUCUGUUUCUGUAACUGACACUGAGGCGCGAAAGCGUGGGGAGCAAACAGGAUUAGAAUACCCUGGUAGUCCACGCCGUAAACGAUGAGUGGCUAAAGUGUUAGAGGGUUUCCGCCCAUUUAGUGGCCUGGAAGUUAAACGGCAAUUAAGGCACUCCGCCCUGGGGAGUAACCGGCCGGCAAGGCUGAAACUCAAAAGGAAAUUGACCGGGGGCCCCGCACAAGCGGUGGAGCAUGUGGUUUAAUUCGAAGCAAACGCGAAGAAACCUUACCAGGUCUUGACAUCCUCUGACAACCCUAGAGAUAGAGCUUCUCCUUCGGGAGCAGAGUGACAGGUGGUGCAUGGUUGUCGUCAGCUCGUGUCGUGAGAUGUUGGGUUAAGUCCCGCAACGAGCGCAACCCUUGAUCUUAGUUGCCAUCAUUAAGUUGGGCACUCUAAGGUGACUGCCGGUGACAAACCGGAGGAAGGUGGGGAUGACGUCAAAUCAUCAUGCCCCUUAUGACCUGGGCUACACACGUGCUACAAUGGACGGUACAAAGAGCUGCAAGACCGCGAGGUGGAGCUAAUCUCAUAAAACCGUUCUCAGUUCGGAUUGUAGGCUGCAACUCGCCUACAUGAAGCUGGAAUCGCUAGUAAUCGCGGAUCAGCAUGCCGCGGUGAAUACGUUCCCGGGCCUUGUACACACCGCCCGUCACACCACGAGAGUUUGUAACACCCGAAGUCGGAGAGGAUGAUCAGGGUCCAGAUUGUACCGUAGGGAGUCGGACCCCAGA